GAUGAAGAACGUAGCGAAAUGCGAUAAGUAAUGUGAAUUGCAGAAUUCAGUGAAUCAUCGAAUCUUUGAACGCACCUUGCACCCUUUGGCAUUCCGAAGGGUAUGCUCGUUUGAGUGUCAUUGUACUCUCACACUUCCGAUCUUUGGAUUGGGGGCGGUGGACUUGGGUGUUGCUGCUUACUGUGGCUCACCUCAAAUUGAUUCGUGCACCUCUUGGUUGGACAUAGUACGGCGUGAUAAGUGUCUUCGCCGGCACCUCAGUAGAGGGUGGCUGAUCGGGAGCUCUGUGCUUCAAACCGUCCUCGGACAACAACUGACAACUUGACCUCAAAUCGAGUAGGACUACCCGCUGAACUUAAGCAUAUCAAUAAGCGGAGGA
rnacentral:misc_RNA from 1 species